rnacentral:rRNA from 1 species
GACGAACGCUGGCGGCGUGCUUAACACAUGCAGGUCGAACGGAAAGGCCCUGCUUUUGUGGGGUGCUCGAGUGGCGAACGGGUGAGUAACACGUGAGUAACCUGCCCUUGACUUUGGGAUAACUUCAGGAAACUGGGGCUAAUACCGGAUAGGAGCUCCUGCUGCAUGGUGGGGGUUGGAAAGUUUCGGCGGUUGGGGAUGGACUCGCGGCUUAUCAGCUUGUUGGUGGGGUAGUGGCUUACCAAGGCUUUGACGGGUAGCCGGCCUGAGAGGGUGACCGGCCACAAUGGGACUGAGAUACGGCCCAGACUCCUACGGGAGGCAGCAGUGGGGAAUAUUGCACAAUGGGCGGAAGCCCGAUGCAGCAACGCCGCGUGCGGGAUGACGGCCUUCGGGUUGUAAACCGCUUUCGCCUGUGACGAAGCGUGAGUGACGGUAAUGGGUAAAGAAGCACCGGCUAACUACGUG